ensembl:lncRNA
AUACAGGACAUUGUGUAGCCUCGGCCUCCUGCUCUGUCUUGUGUGUCUGUCUGUCAGCCUGUCUGUCACACUUGCUGUUGCACGAUGCCCUUGACAUCUUGAGUGUGAUUUGUGACACGCUGAAGCUCCUGCAGGCUUUGAGUGCACAUGCGUCUGAGGGGGGCGUGUGGGGGGGGCGUCCCGGCGUGUGUGUGUGUGUGGGGGGGGCGUCCCGGCGUGUGGUAACUUUGGACGGCAAUUUGAAAUAUUAAACUGGCCUUAACGACUGACAGCCCUCCAACACGCAUGCACGGCUCCGCUUGCAAACACACGCCCACACGUGUUCAAGCCUUGACAGUAAGUAGCUUUGCUCAGCACACACUCCCAUGUGUGUGUGUGUGUGUGUGUGUGUGUGUGUGUGUGUGUGCGCGACACAAGGUUGGAUUUGGACUUGUUUUUAAUCAGUGGGAUUUUGCAAAUGGCCUCAGGCUUCUCCAAGGGACUAAUUAGUGAUGUGACUCCGGCAUAAUAAAUAAACACACACACACACAAGCCGAGCAGCAACGCAGCAUCAUAACGCACACACAUGAACAGUAAACGCACACAGAAGAGAGGAGUUAGAGGACAGUCAGGAAUGAACCGAUCAGAUGGAGAAAGUGUGCAUGUGCUGAUCCACAGUAUUUCCCCUAAUGUCUUCCAUUUCUCUCUUUGUCGCCUUUCUAGUUUGUUUUUAUCAAGUUUUCACAUGUGUAUCGCUCCCUCUGUCUCACACAGACACACACACACACACAUACACACACAAACACACACACAAAUUCAGCUCUUUAAUGUGUUGACAGCCUGCGCCCGAGUGAGAGCAGAAGGUUGACGGCCUAAGAGAAUUCCUCAGGCUUUUCCACAUUGCACCUUAAUGCGCACACACACACACACACACACAUUCUGGCUGUGUAAACCAGAGAGAUUAGCAGCUCAUUACCAUACCACAGGGGGGCUACACACUGGGGAGUGUGUGUGUUUCUGUGUAUAUGUGUGUGUGUUGUGUGUGAUUGCCAGCCCACCUCAGAGCCUUGUCUUCUGGUCAUAACAACAACUGUUCCAUAAUGUGUGUGUGUGUGUGUGUGUGUGUGUGUGUGUGUGUGUGUGUGUGUGUGUGUGUGUGUGUGUGUGUGUGUGCGCGUAGGAGAAUGAAAGUGUCUUUAAUCAGGAGGAAUAAAACAGAGGCCACAGAGAAUUACUGAAUAUGUUUUCAUCGCCAGACAAUUAUCAGAUUAAACAAAUCCAACUCGUUAAGCAGCUAAUCCGUCCAUCCAAUCAGCAGGGAGGACGGAGGCAGCAACACCUGCUCCCAGCGGUGACCUCCGACAGAUGUGGAGAUGAUCCACUUCCCAAAUCCGAGGGAGGAUUGUUUCAUCCUUUUGAAGUCUGGUGUUUGGCAUAAAAAAGGGGAACGUGACCCAGUUUACAAAGUCUACAUUUCCUGCUUAUUUGGGGGAGUUGAUGAGGCUUUACACACCUGCCAAGCAAAGAAAUGCAGAACAGGUGAAAUGCAGCCACAGUUCGGCUUUAUUUAUUUGUUGGUCCGGUGCAGGAUGUUGAACCAGCAAACCAUCUAAACAAUGCCAGCGGCUCUGUGAGUCCUUUGGGCUAAAUAAUGACAAUGCUGGCAAGCCAUGUUAGCAGAUAUUGGUCAAUAAAGAGUCAGCGUAUCGCCAAGUCCUCCUGAAGAGAGAACAUCUGGAUUCAAAUGUAAAGAUAGAAGUUGAGAUUUUAUUCUGGUCCAAAGUGGUGGAGCCGUUCUGUCGGUCGGUUCAACCACUUGAACCCGGCGUGGACUCCAUGUGCCCAGUGGUUAUAUAUGGUGUAGGUACUCAUUUCAAAAGUAGAUGAGGAUUUUAAAUGUGUUUAAAUGAAAUAGACUAAUAUUGUCUUUCCACUUCCCUGGGCUUGUUAGCUCCCUGUUAGCUAACGUGUGUGAUACACAGUACAGAUGUUCAUCGACGACAGAACUGAAGUGUUCUGAACCAGAAACGUAAACUCACUUCUACAACUGCGCCUGCGUCCUUUCGCACAGAAACUCGUUUUGAUUCAUGGUUCUAAAAGAACAACAGGUGGAAUAACGCGUGUUCUUUUUUGUCGACGACGACUUAGAGAAUGUCGUCUUUGUGUGUGGAAGUCGGUUUGUUUGUUUACUGAAUCGAGGGCCGUCCUCAUAGUCCGCCAAUGACCGGCUUGUAGAAGUGCUCAUUUUUACGUACUUCUUCUGACAAAAGCUCUUCAAUCUGAGAAAUGUGAGAAAGGAAAGGAUGUGCUCAGCAGACCAAUCACAGCUGUGUGAGGCUUGCAUAGUUUUUGACACUAGUCUAGAAAAAUUGGUCGAAGCAGCAAGAAGGGGUAAAAAAGCACGCAAGGGGCUUUUGCGUGUCCUUGCGUCUCUGUGAAAACGCACGAGCAUAAACUAGGCCUAAUUUGUGAUUCCCACCUACAAUAUAAUACAAUCUGUUUUGACAACAAAUUCCUGCAGAUCGACCCGCACAAACUAGCGUCAUCAUAUAUGCUCUGCUAACAGUACAGCACAGUACAGUGAGGUAGCUCCAAUUUGUUAGCAUGGUGCGCAGCCUCCGACGUACACAAACCCUCCUCCGACUCACACAAACCCUCCUCCGACGCACACAAACCCUCCUCCGACGCACACAAACCCUCCUCCGACGCACACAAACCCUCCUCCGACUCACACAAACCCUCCUCCGACUCACACAAACCCUCCUCCGACGCACACAAACCCUCCUCCGACUCACACAAACCCUCCUCCGACGCACACAAACCCUCCUCCGACUCACACAAAGCCUCCUCCGACUCACACAAACCCUCCUCCGACUCACACAAACCCUCCUCCGACGCACACAAACCCUCCUCCGACGCUUCAUCAGCACAAAAAGUUACAUGACCUUGUGAGCUGGUCAAACCAAACAGACUAUACAUGUAUUAUUCUGAUGCACCGCAUAACAGAAUCUGAUCAGGGUCUUCAGCGUCUACUUCCUUCCUGCGGUCAUUUUACUGGGUCCCCCCCCGUUUCCUGUGCAUUAGUAAGACAUCAGAGGACAAAACAGAUUCUUGACUCAUGUUUCUGGCUGCAGGAGACGGCAGGUAGUGUUCACAGCAGCAGCAAACACAUCCAGAGGCGAAUCUACUUUAACGCUGACAGUCGGCAACUUUCUGCUUCUUAUGAGAGAGGAAAGUGCAAAGCCUUGAUCGGGAUAAAGGCCGAGAUUUAGACUGUUAUAAUGAUCAUAGUCAAGGCACGGAAAGCGAGUAAGUAAAAUAUGAGAGUGUGUGCGUGUUUGUGUGCGUGUGCGCAAGCACUUCACUCACUCACUCAUUCAUACAUCGCACACUCACAACACACGCACACCUCUUCACAAUCAGAAAUCAACGCCUGGCUGCAGAAAGAAAAGAGAAUUCAUUAAACUCAGCCACCCACGCUGGGCCACAGAAUAGACUGAGGGGUGGCGAGGAAAGGAAGGCGUGGAGGAGGAUGACGAUGAGAGGGAGACAAGAUGGUGAGGAAGAGGAAGUGAAAGGGAGACGGAGGAGGGAAGGGUAGAAGGAGAGAGGAGACACCGUCCUCUUGGCACGAGCCCAUCAAAUGUAGUGAAUAGGACAGAAAAGCUGUCUUUGAACAGCGAAGGGAGGGUGAAGAAAUAACAGAACGUUAGAGGAGACAGGAGGGAAAGACUUGUGGUGAGCGAGGUGUCAGAUAAGAGUUAGUCUGAGACAGCACCCACACGAGAUCUUCAUCCCCAUGAGAUCUUCAUCCAAAUGAGAUCUUCAUCCACAUGAGAUCUUCACCCACACGAGAUCUUCAUCCACAUGAGAUCUUUAUCUACAUGAGAUCUUCAUCCCCACAAGAUCUUCAUCCCCAUGAGAUCUUCACCCACACAAGAUCUUCAUCCCCAUGAGAUCUUCAUCCACACGAGAUCUUCAUCCACACGAGAUCUUCAUCCACAUGAGAUCUUCAUCCACACGAGAUCUUCAUCCCCAUGAGAUCUUUAUCCACAUGAGAUCUUCAUCCACACAAGAUCUUCAUCCCCAUGAGAUCUGUAUCUACAUGAGAUCUUCAUCCCCAUGAGAUCUUCAUCCAAACGAGAUCUUUAUCCCCAUGAGAUCUAUUUCCACAUGAGAUCUUCGUUGUCAUGAGAUCUGUAUCUACAUGAGAUCUUUAUCUACAUGAGAUCUUCGUCCCAAUGAGAUCUUUAUUUACAUGAGAUCUUCAUUCCCAUGAGAUCUUCAUCCCCAUGAGAUCUUCAUCCACAUGAGAUCUUUAUCCACUUGAGAUGAUCAUCCACACGAGAUCUUCGUCCCCAUGAGAUCUGUAUCUACAUGAGAUCUUCAUCCCCAUGAGAUCUUGUCCCCAUGAGCUCUUUGUCCCCAUGAGAUCUUCAUCCCCAUGAGAUCUUCAUCCACUUGAGAUGAUCAUCCACUUAAGAUGAUCAUCCCUAUGAUAUCUUCAUCCACUUGAGAUGAUCAUCCACACAAGAUGUUUCACCCCAUGAGAUCUUUAUCCACAUGAGAUCUUCGUCCCCAUGAGAUCUGUAUCUACAUUAGAUCUUCAUCCCCAUGAGAUCUACAUCCCUAUGAGAUUUUCAUCCACUUGAGAUGAUCAUCCACACGAGAUCUUCACCCCCAUGAGAUCUUUAUCCACAUGAGAUUUUCGUCCCCAUGAGAUCUGUAUCUACAUGAGAUCUUCAUUCCUAUGAGAUCUUCACCCCCAUGAGAUCUUUAUCCACAUGAGAUUUUCGUCCCCAUGAGAUCUGUAUCUACAUGAGAUCUUCAUCCCUAUGAGGUUUUCAUCCACUUGAGAUGAUCAUCCACACGAGAUCUUCACCCCCAUGAUAUCUUUAUCCACAUGAGAUUUUCGUCCCCAUGAGAUCUGUAUCUACAUGAGAUCUUCAUUGCCAUAAAUAAUAAGUCAUUAUAAUGAGUAAUUAUAAUAAGUCAAAUGCAGAGUUUAGAGACAACAACGCAGCCGCGGCUGUUGGUUUUCUUCCUGGAAGCGGUCACAUGAUCGGAGUGUGACGAUUAAGGGAAGGACGCGUUACGACUGCUCACAACCAAUCGGGUGGCCAUGCGGAUCCGUCUUCAACCGUCCGCAACCCGUGAGCCCUUCAAACGGAUCCGUCCUCGGGAGCGUUUCCGUGUGGACGUGGAGCAAAACACAUACGUUUUAAAGUGGAAAGAGGCGAUGACGUCGCCUGACAUGGUAGCGCACACAAAGGCAAUGAGAGUUCUGUGGGUGUUCACACUGUCCCGAGACACGAUUGACACGUGGUGGCGUGUUGGCCGCGCCGUCACCUUUCCCCAAAGCUGACUGACAGCCAAUCAGAUAAUGUGCUCCUCGUCACCGACGUGUCAACCUUUCCCUCUCUGUCCUCAUCCCGGCCUAAUCCGCUAAUCUGUUUAACUAGAGCUGCUUCUGAAGUGGACAAAAGCCUAAUCUAAUUCCUAUUUAGCACUAAUUAAGAGAUUUCUGACCUUCCACCUUAUUAUGAUAACCAUCAGGCUUUAGGAAACCGUCCAACAGACGAGCCGCUGGAGACUCUGUGUGCGACAGCAGCGCUCAGAUAACAUGUAGAGACACUGGAGGAAGAAAUGAGAGGUUUCUCCAUCUGCCUCAGAGACACACACGCGCACACGCACACACACACACACACACACAAUCCACCUUAAGCCUUUUACUGUCCAGAAUGUCAGCAGCCAUCUCCAGCACCGCCGCCUGUCACACACAGGGAGAGAGAGAACGUGUGAGUGUGGGUGUGUGUGAAGUGUGUAUAGGUGAAGUGUGAGUGACUGUGUGUGUGUGUGUGUGUGUGUGUGUGUGUGUGUGUGUGUGUGUGUGUGUGUGUGUGUGUGUGUGUGUGUGUGUGUGUGAGAAAGAAAAAGCAACAGAGGGAGAGACAGAGACACAAUGUGAGGGACGAAGGGAGGGGUGUCCUUGAGAGAGGACAGAGGUGUUCAGCUGGAUCUGAUGAGACGGAGGAAACAACUGGAGCACACGCACACACACAUGCACACACGCACACACACGCACACACGCACACACGCACACACACGCACACACACACACACCACUGUUGCAUCGAUAACAUUCCUCCCGAGGAAGCAAAAAAAACAAUUCUGGGAUAAAUUCACAUGAAUCCAAAAUCCGCCUGACUAAAUCCGUUUGUCCCGUCCGACCCUCCACAGGCCUUUUAUUUUGGCGGUAGAGGACGGGCGAGAGCGGGUCGGGCCUCCACAUCAUUAUCAUCGGCCCCCUCCGAUGCGCCAGCACAAGAUGAAAGGAAAAGCCUCUCAUCUUCUCCCGUCACUGAGGCAGCGCAGAGCGGCGCUCUAACGGGCAUCUUGGUCCUGCGAUAAUCCUCCCAUUGAUCCACUUCACAGGGUUCGGUCUGCGCCGAGGCUUCUGGGUGGAGGGUUAAAGAUGCCGAGGAAUGUCAGUUUGAGCACAAUUGAUGAAGCCACGUGUUGGCCGAGUCGCACUUUACAGCGUCCCUUUCUUUGGCUUUCUCGCGACUUGUUUUCAAGGUCGUUGCUUGUGUGAGCAGCGUUAAUGUUUCAUGAGGUCUGCUGGCAUCGGCAUGGAUUCCACCCGGAUCAUCAUUUAGGCUUUUGUAAAGGAGGCAAAAAUAGGUUCCGCAUUUAGCACAAGCAAUUAAAAAGCACAUCCGCUGCAACAUGUAGGCUUGGUACGAGGGGGAAAUUAAUUCACCUUGUUUUCAACUUCCUUCCUUCCCUUUGAAGUCCAGAAAGGGGGGUUGUGGGUGUAGUGGGGGGGGGGACUGGAUGGGAGAAGGAGACGGUGGAGGGUGAGGAAGAAGAGAGGGAACAAUAGACCAGUGAGCCAUUACCUCAGCGCCCGCUGGCCUCCCCCUUCUCAACAUGUCCAUCUACUGCUGGCCUCCCCCUUCUCAACAUGUCCAUCUACUGCUGGCCUCCCCCUUCUCAACAUGUCCAUCUACUGCUGGUCUCCCCCUUCUCAACAUCUCCAUCUACUGCUGGCCUCCCCCUUCUCAACAUCUCCAUCUACUGCUGGCCUCCCCCUUCUCAACAUGUCCAUCUACUGCUGGCCUCCCCCUUCUCAACAUGUCCAUCUACUGCUGGUCUCCCCCUUCUCAACAUCUCCAUCUACUGCUGGCCUCCCCCUUCUCAACAUCUCCAUCUACUGCUGGCCUCCCCCUUCUCAACAUGUCCAUCUACUGCUGGUCUCCCCCUUCUCAACAUCUCCAUCUACUGCUGGUCUCCCCCAUUCUCAACAUCUCCAUCUACUGCUGGCCUCCCCCUUCUCAACAUCUCCAUCUACUGCUGGCCUC